UAUGUCUCAGGAAAGUUAAAUUUGUCUAGAGUUGAGUGUUCCAGAGACAGGAUUUAAAACCAGGCUAUCUCAUUAAUUCCCAGGGAGUUAAUGGUGUGAUUCUGGCUGCAUUUGGAAGCCGAGAGGGCUAGCAGCAUGCUGGUAGAUUAGGGAAUAAUUAAGGCUGUCAGAGAUGUGUGUCUAUCCGAGGCCAAACAAUCCAUGGGUGCAGAAGUAAAUCUGGAAGAAUAAUUGGUUGUGAGGGUAAGACAUUGGCUUCUGGAGGUGAGAGGUCGAGGAAUAUAAUGAUGGUGUGUUGAAUGGAGUGAAGAUGUUGAGAUGUCUUAGGAUAUUGUAGCUAAAAGGCAGUAAAUUAAUGACUGGCAUAUAAGGUCUGAGGUUAACUAUGCUGGAUAUUAACUAUGCUUUGAAUUACAGAUUGGAGUUUGUUUUUCAAGCAUCAUCACCCUGUCUGUCAUCUCUUGGUUGGCAACCACUGUCGCCAUCUCCUUCUAAGAAAACAAUGACCUUCCAAUGAAGAGUGCUACCUGGACCUGAAAGAAAGAGAUGAUCUGCAAAUUGGACACAGAACAAUUAAAUAAGUACCUUUGUAUCCAAGCCUGUCCUGAAAUUAUCUCCUCUGCUAUGAAUAUGAAUAUCCAUGCACAGGCAAGAAACCAGGAAUCCAUCAGUGAGGCAGACUCCAACUAGAUAUCUGAGGAUCAAGAAGAGGAGGAAGACAGCAGAAGAGGAGAAUUCUCAGGCAGUCAGCUCCUGCUGCUAUCAUGCACCCCCCAUAAGCACUUUGUGUGUUAUCUCUUGAUAGCCUAAGUACUUGAGGAAAUUUUAUCAUUUUUAUUUUUCCCUGAGAGCCAGAGAGGAUAUGCAUUCUGUCCAAAGUUAUACAACUAACAUAAAAGGCAGCCAGAAAUAAAAUUCUAAAAAGACAACA
rnacentral:lncRNA from 1 species